rnacentral:lncRNA from 1 species
AGAGCGCCUUCGUUUUUCUCUUUUCCUGUCUACUCUGUCCUCACUUUCGCUCCGUUUCUGCGUGGUCUGCGGUUGUGACCUCAAGACGAGUUUCCGCCUGUGCGGCGUUUCCGUGUCGGGGGAGGUAGCUGUGUUUAUUGUUGGGAAAACGCCCUCGCCCGCGGGGAUGGCGGCCGGGCCGGGCCGUGGGUGGUGGUUCCGAGGGGCGGGCGGCUGUGCUGUGUGUUAGGCUGCCCGGCCUCCUAGGCAGUUCAGGGAGCUCACCUGGAGGCCUGAGUUCCGGAAGAGGCUGGGACACUGUGGGGAGAGC